ACUUGGCUGUGAGUUCGUCUCGAGCCUGAACCAGAGGUCAGCUGAGGGCCUCUCCGCACCCCACCCCUCCAACUCACCAGCUCCUAGGCUUUACGUGCCCAACUGCCCUGUCUGCUGUCUCCUGAGCCUCCCCACAACACUGGGCCUCUGCAACCUUCGUGCCUUGGGAGGUGCUAUUCCCUUCAUCCAAAAUGCCUCCUUGCUAAGGCCCAUCUUGAAUCUGACCUCCUUCCUACGAGCCGCUAUUUACUCACUCUCAACAUACACCACGCACCGUGCUCCUGAGGACUGACCUGCUCACCUGCUCACCCGGUG